rnacentral:rRNA from 1 species
AGGAUAAACGCUGGCGGCGUGCAUGAGACAUGCAAGUCGAACGGACACUUGGGGCUUGCUCCAAGUGUUAGUGGCGGACGGCUGAGUAACGCGUAGGUGACCUGCCCCGAAGUGGGGAAUAACUGCCCGAAAGGGUGGCUAAUACCGCAUGUGGUGGUGUGUUCAUUCACACCAGUAAAGCCGCAAGGCGCUUCGGGAGGGGCCUGCGUCCGAUUAGCUCGUUGGUGGGGUAACGGCUCACCAAGGCGACGAUCGGUAGGUGGUCUGAGAGGACGAUCACCCAGACUGGGACUGAGACACGGCCCAGACUCCUACGGGAGGCAGCAGUCGGGAAUUUUGCGCAAUGGACGAAAGUCUGACGCAGCAACGCCGCGUGAGGGAUGAAGGCCUUCGGGUUGUAAACCUCUUUUAUCAGGGAAGAUAAUGACGGUACCUGAUGAAUAAGUCACGGCUAACUACGUGCCAGCAGCCGC